GGGUCUGCGCUUGGGCCUGUUGU
rnacentral:siRNA from 1 species